UACGAAGGGGGCGAGCGUUGUUCGGAUUUACUGGGCGUAAAGGGCUCGUAGGCGGUUUGUCGCGUCGGGAGUGAAAACCAUGGGCUUAACUCAUGGCUUGCUUCCGAUACGGGCAGACUAGAGGUAUGCAGGGGAGAACGGAAUUCCUGGUGUAGCGGUGAAAUGCGCAGAUAUCAGGAGGAACACCGGUGGCGAAGGCGGUUCUCUGGGCAUUACCUGACGCUGAGGAGCGAAAGUGUGGGGAGCGAACAGG
rnacentral:rRNA from 1 species